UACGUAGGUGGCAAGCGUUAUCCGGAUUUACUGGGUGUAAAGGGAGCGUAGACGGCAGAGCAAGUCUGAAGUGAAAGCCCGCGGCCCAACUGCGGGACUGCUUUGGAAACUGCCCGGCUAGAGUGCUGGAGAGGUAAGCGGAAUUCCUAGUGUAGCGGUGAAAUGCGUAGAUAUUAGGAGGAACACCAGUGGCGAAGGCGGCUUACUGGACAGUAACUGACGUUGAGGCUCGAAAGCGUGGGGAGCAAACAGG
rnacentral:rRNA from 1 species